rnacentral:lncRNA from 1 species
CUUGCUUGCUUUGUGUGUAUCAAUGUCUGCUCAAGCAUGGCAAUUAAGAUAGGCGGGGCUUCAGCUUGUAUACAUCAUACUUAAAUUUUAUUGAACGUUACGUUUGAGGUUUAGGACACUUAAUUUUAAAACAUCACAUGACAAAUAUUCUCACAUGUUUCCUCACCUGUAAAAAUACAAUAAUUGGUCAAUGAAAGAAAAAUAUAAACUUAAUAUUGGUUUUUUUUAUAUAACAUAUCAAUCUAUUAGUUCAGUUGUUUCCGUGACUGCCCUUUCAUUUAUGUAACUCAAGAAAAAAUUCCAAUAAAUGGGUAACAAUUGUAUCGAAAAGAGAAAAUCGAGUGCACCUUUUUUUAUGUUAGGGUGUGUUUGAGAUGAAUAUUUUGUCUUGAAAACGUACAAAGGAAGAGUAUUUGAUAACAUCAUCUCGCUUCAGAUUCUAUCAUUUUAUAUAGCAAAGCUACAGGUUGACUUUAUAACAUAAAAAAAUCACAAUACUAAAAGAUGAAAUGUAGGGGUCAAGUGAAAUACCUAUCCAAUGAAUCACAAAUCAGAGUAGGUGUGUUCGAAUAGCUAUUUUACUAAAAGUUUUUGACGACAAUCUUUAAGUUGGAUGAUGAAAAUGCAUAACUUCGAAAAAAAUUUGGUUUCCAUUUCUACGAUUGUGAAAAUGAACUGCCGUAAUGGGGAGAUAAUUUUGACGAAGUAGAAUCCUGACUGUAUUGUAUAUUUACAGGUGAGGAAACAUGUGAGAAUAUUUGUCAUGUGAUGUUUUAAAAUUUAGUGUCCUUAACCUCAAAAAUAACGUCCAAUAAAAUUUAAGUAUGAUGUAUACAAGCUGAAACCCCGCCUAUCUUAAUUGCCAUGCUUGAGCAAACAUUGAUACAAACAAAGCAAGCAAGCCAAACAAAGAUUUGUCUUGCUAGCAUUA